CCUCUGAACGUCGGCGCCCACUGGAUUUUACUGACUGUCAACCAUUCAGAGAAGCAGCUGGUGCUUGUUGAUCCCCUCUCAAAUUAGGACAUUUAUGAGCCCAAGAUUCUGCAAAAUUGGAGGAAUUUUUUGAGAAGGACUGGCAGUGGCGAUACAGAGAUGUGGGCUGCCACAACACUGAGGCACAGGAAGCAGGAGGAUGGAUACAGCUGUGGAAUUUUAGUGUUAAUGGUAAACAUCUUCAGGAGGUUUCUUUUGACCAUUUUUGUACUAAGCUGUACUAUUAUCUAAAUAUGCGGAAUGCCUUUUGUUUUUGCAGUUUGCCGAAGCAAACUGCAAAAAUUAGAAUGUUCAAACCCACCAGCAAGCCAUAGCGGAGGCAUGUUUAAAAGUGGCUUGUUCUCUACUGGAGAGAGGAGGUGUACCAGAACAAAAUUAAAAUUAACCAGGU